GUCCAGCUGAGGCCCUCUUGGACAACACUUCCUCUCCUGCCCAUGGUGGGAGGUUGGGAAGGACAUUCCCCCAUUUCCAUUUGCUCUGCCAUUCAAAACCUUGUGAGGGCCCUCAGGGAAGAAUCCCUUUGCAGAUGAGGAAACUGAGGCCCCACGUGGUGAAGACAAUUUUUACCCGAAUCCACCCACAACAAGAGACCAUUUGGAUAAUGUACAUUAUGGGAAGAGAACAGAGUCUCAGUGAAGAUCAUGUUUCCCCAGCAACACAGGUGCCAGGAGUAGCUGGCUCUGGUCCCAGCCCAGACUCAGAAAUCCUGAGCCACCAGACCAUUUCUAGAUUAACAAUGACCCACUGGAAACCAGUGUCAGCAUAACAACAGUUACGAGAGCUAAACCUACAAAAUAGAAACACAAGUAAAACUUGUUCAAGUGGUUUGCAGUCAUUGAACAUAGAUCAGCUCCUAUGAAAACAAACUCCAUGGAACACAGGAGCUAUGUGGAGAGUUGAUGGAGGGACAUUCCAGGCAGAGAGAACAGCAAACACAAAGGCCUUGAAGGGAGCGGUGGCUUACAUCUGCAAUCCCACCACUUUGGGAGGCUGAGGCAGGUGGAUUGCUUGAUCUCAGGAGUUCGAGACCAGCCUGGGCAAUGUGGUGAAACCCAGUCUCUACCAAAAAAUACAAAAAUUAGCCGGGCAUGGUGAGCAUGCCUCUGGUCCCAGCUACCCAGGAGGCUGAGGUGGGAGAAUCACUUGAGCCUAGAAGGUCAAGGCUGCAGUGAGCCGUGAUUGAGCCACUGCAUUCCAGCCUGGGUGAUAGGGCUCAACACCACAUGGAAGCUGCCAAGGCUUGGGGCUCGCACCAUCUGAAGACAUGGUCUGAACUCUACGUUGGCCCUUUCAGCCAUGGCUGGAGCAGCUGGAACGCAGGGCAUCAAGUCUCUUGGCUGCACACAGCUCAGGGAAGCUGGACCUGGCCCAUGAAACCACUUUUUCUUCCUAUGCCUCCAGACCUGUGAUGGGAGGAGCUGCCAUGAAGACCUCUGACAUGCCCUAGAAACAUUUUCCCCAUUGUCUUAGGGAUUAACAUUCUGUGCCUUGUUGCUUAAGUAAAUUUCUGCCUCAUUGUCAG
rnacentral:lncRNA from 1 species